AGCCUGAACGCUGGCGGCGUGGCUAAGACAUGCAAGUCGUACGGGUGUAGCAAUACACCAGUGGCGGACGGGUGAGUAAUGUAUCGCUAACGUACCCCGAAAUCUGGGAUAGCCAUCCGAAAGGAUGGGUAAUACCAGGUAACAUCACCGGAUGGCAUCAUCUGGUGCUCAUAGGGUCACCGUUUCGGGAGCGGGCGAUAUCGUAUCAGCUAGUUGGCGGGGUAACGGCCCACCAAGGCGACGACGCGUAGCCGGACUGAGAGGUUGGCCGGCCACAUUGGGACUGAGACACUGCCCAGACUCCUACGGGGGCUGCAGUAACGAAUCUUCCGCAAUGCACGCAAGUGUGACGGAGCGACGCCGCGUGUGGGACGAAGCCCUUCGGGGUGUAAACCACUGUCAGGGGUUAGAAAGUUCUGAUCGACCCCAGAGGAAGGCACGGCUAACUCUGCGCCAGCAGCCGC
rnacentral:rRNA from 1 species